rnacentral:rRNA from 1 species
AGAGUUUGAUCAUGGCUCAGAUUGAACGCUGGCGGCAUGCCUUACACAUGCAAGUCGAACGGCAGCAUGAUGUGUAGCAAUACACGUUGAUGGCGAGUGGCGAACGGGUGAGUAAUAUAUCGGAACAUGUCCUGUAGCGGGGGAUAACCUAUCGAAAGAUGGACUAAUACCGCAUACGCUCUACGGAGGAAAGCGGGGGUCGCAAGACCUCGCACUAGAGGAGUGGCCGAUAUCGGAUUAGCUAGUUGGCGGGGUAAAAGCCCACCAAGGCGACGAUCCGUAGCUGGUCUGAGAGGAUGAUCAGCCACACUGGAACUGAGACACGGUCCAGACUCCUACGGGAGGCAGCAGUGGGGAAUUUUGGACAAUGGGCGCAAGCCUGAUCCAGCCAUGCCGCGUGAGUGAAGAAGGCCUUCGGGUUGUAAAGCUCUUUCGGCAGGAACGAAAUGGUUCGUGCUAAUACCACGGAUUGAUGACGGUACCUGAAGAAGAAGCACCGGCUAACUACGUGCCAGCAGCCGCGGUAAUACGUAGGGUGCAGGCGUUAAUCGGAAUUACUGGGCGUAAAGCGUGCGCAGGCGGUUUCUUAAGUCAGAUGUGAAAGCCCCGGGCUUAACCUGGGAACUGCGUUUGAAACUGGGAGACUUGAGUGUGGCAGAGGGGGGUGGAAUUCCACGUGUAGCAGUGAAAUGCGUAGAUAUGUGGAGGAACACCGAUGGCGAAGGCAGCCCCCUGGGUCAACACUGACGCUCAUGCACGAAAGCGUGGGGAGCAAACAGGAUUAGAUACCCUAGUAGUCC